GGACGUAAUUAGUAUCGAACAUUUCAGACAACGAGGGGCUUAUCUCUAUGAGUUUAUUUAUCGCAAGAGUAAGAACAUAACAUAACCGUAAAUUCCAAGAAAGUUCAGUCUGAGCGAAGGAAAAUCCUCUUUAAAGCAGCUGCAACGAUCACAAUGUCAAUUUCAAAUUGUCCUCCGCGUGGAAGAGGCUCGCGUAGCAACGGUUUCGCGUGAAAUACGUCUGUCUCCGGUAGCACCAGUCCUCGCUUGCCUCUCGGACCCAGCAAGAUCCACCAGGUGAAGCCUUCCUCUCUUCACCGUAUUCUCAGUCUUACUGCUCUGUUCGUUAAUGGCCAGCGUUUCCAAGGAUAACGUCAA